ensembl:snoRNA LOC120099525 small nucleolar RNA SNORA11
GUGAUGUACUCAGAGCAGGGACUCUAAAAGUGGCCCUUCUGUUUACACCCAACAGGCACCAUGUAACAAGGAGCACAAGACUCAUGUCCUCCCUGUGAACAAGUGCCCCACACGU